UUUAUGUGACACUGAGCGUAUCAAAUCCCAGGACUCAACCCUGAACAGGCGGUGGAAACUAUCAAGUUGGAGUACGGUAGGAGUAGAGGAAAUUUCCGGUGGAGCGGUGAAAUGCGUAGAGGUCGUAAAGAACACCAACGGUAAAAGCAAUCUGAUGAGCCGAUAUUGACAUUGAGA
rfam:Beta vulgaris subsp. vulgaris Bvchr9.sca026.con0235.1, whole genome shotgun sequence.